CAAAUUUGAUGGAGAGAGGACUGAUGGAAGCAAAGGGUGUUUGUGUGUGUGUGUGCACGUAUAUGUGCAUGUGAGUUUUUGCAAGCUUCUGUUCUCCAAACCUCAGAACUUGCGCUGCACUCCAUCACCAGGGGAACAGAUAGCUUUUAGCAAGAUACCCUGAGGUGGAAAAGACUGCUCAGCCUUCCUCUUUUUUCCUGCUCUCUCCUCUUUGAUCUUUCUCCUUCGAAGCAUUUUGUUUUUCUCUGGUAACCCAAUGACACUUCCUUUUUUUUGCAAGGCAAGUAUGAAUUGAAAUAAAUUUCUCUCUCUGCUUAUGCUGCUCCUGUGGACAUAAACCUUUUCUAUCCCGAGCAGUCAGUGCUGUCAUUGAAACAUAUUACCUCUGUUUCCUACCCUGCACACACAGGAAGUGCUGAAUUUUCAAGGCUGGAAAUGAAUAGCAGGGAUCAUUUCACGUUGGCAGUUUUUUUUUUUUUUUAACUUAUCAGCCUUGUUUACCAUUUCUAUUGUUUCCCACAGCGAGCAGAUCUGAGCUGGAUGGCAAACAUCAGAGACAAACCUAGUGGGUGAUGAAACACAAGGACACACACAAUGCGGCGUUGAGGAGGCAGGGUUGUGUGGUCUAGCGAGCUGUCUGAAAGAAAAGAAACUGGUGGAACUUGAGCACAUCCCUCGAAUGUUCCAGUCUCCUCGCAAUCCUUGGAAAAGUUUUUGGCGAAGUUGUAAAAGGAAGCAGAUGCCAGAUGUGCACGCCAUAUGCUGGGGGUCUUAAAUUAAGCCCUUUUCACUGUUAACUACCACACAUCAGUCUAUGUCCUCUUGCGUCAGCUGGCGUCGCUCAGACAUCUUCAGUCCUUCGGGGCUGGUCCAGCAUGCUCCAUUCCUGUUUCCAGUCCUUCUUCUUCUUCUGUGUGCUGACAGGACCACCUGGUGCUGCUGCUGGUUGCCAGAUUUUGGAUUAUCCUGCAUAACAAUGGGCUAAAGGACUGUUUGGAUCAGUUCCACUCUCGAGCUGCCAGGGACCGCUCUGCCUCUUGCUCUUCAGUGACAGUGGCUGUCCUCCCUACCGUGCACACAUGGAUGCAUGGCCACCGUGGGAUGAUACCCCCCACCCCCUACCCCACCGCCAUCAUCCACCCAACCACACACGCACAUACACAUAAACACACACACACAUUCAAAAGGUUAAUUAAUGUGUCCAUGUGUUUAUGGCCAUCCAGCAGUCUACAAGGGAGUCUGUGAGAGAUUUGUGUACACAUAAAAAAUAUGCACUAACGUUGCUAAGCUCACACAUGACACCAUUUGCACACUUGACAAGAGCGCUGAGAGACACAGGUGAUUUCAUGCGAUAGAAAUAAUAAAAUGAAAAAAAAAAGCUGGCAAUAAAACCUGUCCUAAAAUAAUAAAAGCCUAAUUUCACUACUGUGUUGUCUAAAUAAGUGAAUGCAAAUAUGCCUGUGACUGUUUCUGUGCAAAUAUGGGUGCUGUUUUUGUAUAAAAAAUUAAACAAACUGGAUUUGA
ensembl:lncRNA